CAGCCGCCGCGGGAAUACGAAGGGUGCAAGCGUUAAUCGGAAUUACUGGGCGUAAAGCGUGCGUAGGCGGUUUGUUAAGUCUGCUGUGAAAUCCCCGGGCUCAACCUGGGAAUGGCAGUGGAUACUGGCAAGCUAGAGUGUGUCAGAGGAUGGUGGAAUUCCCGGUGUAGCGGUGAAAUGCGUAGAGAUCGGGAGGAACAUCAGCGGCGAAGGCGGCCAUCUGGGACAACACUGACGCUGAGGCACGAAAGCGUGGGGAGCAAACAGGAUUAGAUACCCCAGUAGUCCCUGUCUCUUAUAC
rnacentral:rRNA from 1 species